rnacentral:hammerhead_ribozyme from 1 species
GCACUGCUGAGGAGUUCCACAAUAGGGCGAAACGGGCGUCAAGUGC